ACGAUGGUGGUUCAGUAGGAGAAUUCUCGCCUUCCACGCAGGCAAUCAGGGUUCAAUUCCUGGUCAACGCA
rnacentral:tRNA from 1 species